AUACUUACCUGGCACAGGAGUGACUUUGAUCAAGAAGGAAUGUCCUCCCAAGGUGAGGCCUCGGCAUUGCACUUGACUGAGGUUGACCCUUGCGAUUCCCCCAAAUGUAGGGAACUCGGGUGUAUAAUUUAUGGUAGCGGGGACUGCGUCCGCGCUAACCCCUA
rnacentral:snRNA from 1 species